GUGCAAAUAGAAUAACUAUGUAGCAUCAAUAAUAAUAGUAAUAAUAAUAAUAGACAUACAUAACAUAAGUUACUGAUUUUUAAUUUAUUUUCAUUUUUCUGGGGGGCAGGGGAAUUUAAAUAUAAGCACUGACACUCCGCGCGAUUAAUCAAACUGUAGUAAAUAUUUUAACUUCUUGCACAUGCACAUUUCUCGAAUUUAUACAACCAAAUCCCUGAUAUAAUAUAAUAAUCUGUAAUUGCUGAAGACGUUGAAAACGUCUGUUUUUAUACAUGCAUGAUGACGUUAAAAAUUAUCAAUUUCAAAAGAUCAUAAUAACAUCACUGUUAUAAAUUCCAUUUAUGUUGUAAUUUAAGAGGGACGAACGAUACCAAAGGGACAGUCAA
rnacentral:lncRNA from 1 species